rnacentral:rRNA from 1 species
UACGGGGGGGGCAAGCGUUGUUCGGAAUUACUGGGCGUAAAGGGCUCGUAGGCGGCCAACUAAGUCGGAUGUGAAAUCCCCAGGCUUAACCUGGGAACUGCAUCCGAUACUGGAUGGCUUGAAUCCGGGAGAGGGAUGCGGAAUUCCAGGUGUAGCGGUGAAAUGCGCAGAUAUCAGGAGGAACACCGAUGGCGAAGGCGGUUCUCUGGGACGGUACUGACGCUGAGACGCGAAAGCGUGGGGAGCGAACGGG